ACCCGCUGAAUUUAAGCAUAUCAAUAAGCGGAGGAAAAGAAACCAACAGGGAUUGCCUUAGUAACGGCGAGUGAAGCGGCAAAAGCUCAAAUUUGAAAUCGGCCCCCAGGUCGAGUUGUAAUUUGUAGAUUGUAUCUUGAGAGCGGAUUAAAGUCUGUUGGAACACAGCGCCUUAGAGGGUGACAGCCCCGUAAAAUCUAUUCUCAUUGUAAGAUACUUUCGAAGAGUCGAGUUGUUUGGGAAUGCAGCUCUAAGUGGGAGGUAAAUUCCUUCUAAAGCUAAAUAUUGACGAGAGACCGAUAGCGAACAAGUACUGUGAAGGGAAGAUGAAAAGCACUUUGAAAAGAGAGUGAAAAAGUACGUGAAAUUGUUAAAAGGGAAGGGUAUUGAAUCAGACUUGGUGCUGUUGUUCAACUGUGUUUCGGCACAGUGUACUCAGCAGUACUAGGCCAAGGUGGGGUGUUUGGGAGUGAAAAAGAAGUUGGAACGUAACUCUUCGGAGUGUUAUAGCCUACUUUCAUAGCUCCUCAGGCGCCUCAGGACUGCGCUUCGGCAAGGACCUUGGCAUAAUGAUUCUAUACCGCCCGUCUUGAAACACGGACCAAGA
rnacentral:rRNA from 1 species